ACUAUUUUAGAUUGUCCGACGAGUUUAGCCAUUUUUCCUGUGCGAGUGACCCUCUCUCUUAAACAGGAAGAAUCCUUGCCCAACUGUAAAUGCCACAAUAGCUAACUCAUAGCCACCUCCACCACCGAAGGGACCUCAUCGUUAAUUUGAUCUCUUCCCUCGGUUCUUCUUGUCCACACUAAAUUGGUAGCUGGAAUUCAUCAUGCCCAAAGAGAAGAGCCCUGGCUUGAAGAUCUUAUGGCUCUGGACCUUUGGAACUGCUGCUGUAUUAGUUGGCAAUGCGUUGAGGACAACAAUAAGGGACAUGGACGCGCUCAUGAAUGCCGAACAACAAAAACAUCAUGAUCCCCCUCAAAUCAUAAUGGAUACGUUGCCUCCCCAAACUGAAGCUGAUUUUCCUGAUGAUAAAACAUGAUUGGCUUAUUGUUUUGUUUCUUUUUUACUUUUUGGGUUAUGACUUAUGAUAUUGAAUGCUAGAGAGGUUUGUCAUCUUUAUUGUUGUUGUUCAGAACUUCAAACCAUGCGUGAUAAAAGAGUGCCCACAACGUGUUUGUUGAAUGUCGUGAGUGAAAAUUGAGGCUUGCCUUUCCAGCUA